GGUCCCUGCCCCGUAGAGCUUAUAAUCUAUAUAAAUUACCCUCCCAUAUAGAUUGUAAGCUCUACGGAGCAGGGACC
rnacentral:pre_miRNA from 1 species